rnacentral:rRNA from 1 species
GUGUGGUAANAGGUCUUAGUGGAAAUUCUCCGGUGUAGCNGUGAAAUGCGUAGAUAUUGGGAAGAACACCGGUGGCGAAGGCGGCUAACUGGGCCAUACYUGACGCUGAGGCUCGAAAGCGUGGGGAGCAAACUGGGAUUAGAUACCCUGGUAGUCCACGGCCCGUAAACGAUGGGAUNCUAGGUGUCUCGGGUUUNGACCCC